AUGGCGAAGCUGACCANCCAUGCCGCGUGUGUGAAGAAGGCCUUCGGGUUGUAAAGCACUUUAAGCGAGGAGGAAGGUUCGCUGGCUAAUAUCCAGCGGAAUUGACGUUACUCGCAGAAUAAGCACCGGCUAACUCUGUGCCAGCAGCCGCGGUAAUACAGAGGGUGCAAGCGUUAAUCGGAAUUACUGGGCGUAAAGCGUGCGCAGGCGGUUAUACAAGACAGGCGUGAAAUCUCCGGGCUUAACCUGGGAACUGCCUCCAUAACUGCAUAGCUAGAGUAUGGGAGAGGAAGGUAGAAUUCCGGGUGUAGCGGUGAAAUGCGUAGAUAUCCGGAGGAAUACCGAUGGCGAAGGCAGCCUUCUGGCCUAAUACUGACGCUGAAGUACGAAAGCGUGGGGAGCAAACAGGAUUAGAUACCCUGGUAGUCCACGCCGUAAACGAUGUCAACUAGCCGUUGGGUUCCUUGAGGACUUAGUGGCGCAGCUAACGCGAUAAGUUGACCGCCUGGGGACUACGGCCGCAAGGUUGAAACUCAAAUGAAUUGACGGGGGCCCGCACAAGCGGUGGAGCAUGUGGUUCAAUUCGAUGCCACGC
rnacentral:rRNA from 1 species